CCUUCAGUUCUUAAAGCGCUGCAAUUCGCUGCUGCAGCCAUAUUUCUUACUCUCUCGGGGCUGGAAGCUUCCUGACUGAAGAUCUCUCUGCACUUGGGGUUCUUUCUAGAACAUUUUCUAGUCCCCCAACACCCUUUAUGGCGUAUUUCUUUAAAAAAAUCACCUAAAUUCCAUAAAAUAUUUUUUUAAAUUCUAUACUUUCUCCUAGUGUCUUCUUGACACGUCCUCCAUAUUUUUUUAAAGAAAGUAUUUGGAAUAUUUUGAGGCAAUUUUUAAUAUUUAAGGAAUUUUUCUUUGGAAUCAUUUUUGGUUGACAUCUCUGUUUUUUGUGGAUCAGUUUUUUACUCUUCCACUCUCUUUUCUAUAUUUUGCCCAUCGGGGCUGCGGAUACCUGGUUUUAUUAUUUUUUCUUUGCCCAACGGGGCCGUGGAUACCUGCCUUUUAAUUCUUUUUUAUUCGCCCAUCGGGGCCGCGGAUACCUGCUUUUUAUUUUUUUUUCCUUAGCCCAUCGGGGUAUCGGAUACCUGCUGAUUCCCUUCCCCUCUGAACCCCCAACACUCUGGCCCAUCGGGGUGACGGAUAUCUGCUUUUUAAAAAUUUUCUUUUUUUGGCCCAUCGGGGCUUCGGAUACCUGCUUUUUUUUUUUUUAUUUUUCCUUGCCCAUCGGGGCCUCGGAUACCUGCUUUAAUUUUUGUUUUUCUGGCCCAUCGGGGCCGCGGAUACCUGCUUUGAUUUUUUUUUUUCAUCGCCCAUCGGUGCUUUUUAUGGAUGAAAAAAUGUUGGUUUUGUGGGUUGUUGCACUCUCUGGAAUAUCUACACUUUUUUUUGCUGCUGAUCAUUUGGUGGUGUGUGAGUGUACCUACCGCUUUGGCAGAGAAUGACUCUGCAGUUAAGCUAAGGGCGUGUUCAGAUUGUGGAGGAAAAGUGGCCGCCAUUUUAGACUUGCCGCAUAACUCGGCUUAGGGCUAGUCGUUUGUGCUAAGUUAAACUAGGGAGGCAAGAUGGAUGAUAGCAGGUCAGGCAGAGGAAGUCAUGUGCAUUGCAUGAGCUAAACCUAUCUGAAUGAAUUGAUUUGGGGCUUGUUAGGAGCUUUGCGUGAUUGUUGUAUCGGGAGGCAGUAAGAAUCAUCUUUUAUCAGUACAAGGGACUAGUUAAAAAUGGAAGGUUAGGAAAGACUAAGGUGCAGGGCUUAAAAUGGCGAUUUUGACAUUGCGGCAUUGCUCAGCAUGGCGGGCUGUGCUUUGUUAGGUUGUCCAAAAUGGCGGAUCCAGUUCUGUCGCAGUGUUCAAGUGGCGGGAAGGCCACAUCAUGAUGGGCGAGGCUUUGUUAAGUGGUUAGCAUGGUGGUGGACAUGUGCGGUCACACAGGAAAAGAUGGCGGCUGAAGGUCUUGCCGCAGUGUAAAACAUGGCGGGCCUCUUUGUCUUUGCUGUGUGCUUUUCGUGUUGGGUUUUGCCGCAGGGACAAUAUGGCAGGCGUUGUCAUAUGUAUAUCAUGGCUUUUGUCACGUGGACAUCAUGGCGGGCUUGCCGCAUUGUUAAAGAUGGCGGGUUUUGCCGCCUAGUGCCACGCAGAGCGGGAGAAAAGGUGGGAUGGACAGUGCUGGAUUGCUGCAUAACCCAACCAAUUAGAAAUGGGGGUGGAAUUGAUCACAGCCAAUUAGAGCAGAAGAUGGAAUUAGACUGAUGACACACUGUCCAGCUACUCAGCGAAGACCUGGGUGAAUUAGCAUGGCACUUCGCAGCUGUCUUUAGCCAGUCAGGAGAAAGAAGUGGAGGGGCCACGUGUAUGUCUCCCAGUGGGCGGUACACCAGGUGUUUUCAAGGUCUUUUCAAGGACAUUUAGCCUUUCCACCUCUGUCCCCUCUUAUUUGUCCCCUCCUGUCCAGUGCUGCCUCUUGCAGUGCUGGAUAUCUGGCUGUGUGGUCUGAACCUCCCUCCAUUCCUCUGUAUUGGUGCCUCACCUAAGGCUAAGUAUACCUCCCCCCCCACCCCCCAACCCCCCCAACUCCCCACCCCCACCCCCCACCCCCCACCUCCCCACCCCCCUACCCCCCUACCCCCCUACCCCCCUCUGGUCUGCCCUGCACUGCACUGUUGCCAUGGGCAGUGCUCCAGGCCUGCUUGGUGUGGACAUGGUGGUGAGCCGUGGCAAGGACCAGAAUGGAUCACAGAUGAUCGUUGGCCAACAGGUGGCAGAAGAGGAAUUCCUGCCUUCCUCAAGAGGAACACCUACCCCUUGGCUAAUGCUGGGGUCGGAUUUUGAUUUAUAUUUAUCUUUUGGAUGUCAGUCAUACAGUCUGAUUUUGUGGUUUGCUAGUGUUUGAAUUUAAGUCUUAAGUGACUAUUAUAGAAAUGUAUUAAGAGGCUUUAUUUGUAGAAUUCACUUUAAUUACAUUUAAUGAGUUUUUGUUUUGAGUUCCUUAAAAUUCCUUAAAGUUUUUAGCUUCUCAUUACAAAUUCCUUAACCUUUUUUUGGCAGUAGAUAGUCAAAGUCAAAUCAUUUCUAAUGUUUUAAAAAUGUGCUGGUCAUUUUCUUUGAAAUUGACUUAACUAUUUUCCUUUGAAGAGUCUGUAGCACAGAAACAGUAAAAAAUUUAACUUCAUGACCUAAUGUAAAAAAGAGUGUUUGAAGGUUUACACAGGUCCAGGCCUUGCUUUGUUCCCAUCCUUGAUGCUGCACUAAUUGACUAAUCACCUACUUAUCAGACAGGAAACUUGAAUUGCUGUGGUCUGGUGUCCUCUAUUCAGACUUAUUAUAUUGGAGUAUUUCAAUUUUUCGUUGUAUCCUGCCUGCCUAGCAUCCAGUUCCUCCCCAGCCCUGCUCCCAGCAAACCCCUAGUCUAGCCCCAGCCCUACUCCCACCCCGCCCCAGCCCUGCCCCAGCCCCAGUCCCCUAACCCCCCAGCCCUAGCCCCAGUCCCAGUCCUAGUUCCUCAGUCCCGCCCAGCUUCUCUCGAAAGUCACUCUAAUUUUCAUUGAUUCAGUGCUCAAAAUAAGUUGUCCAUUGCUUAUCCUAUUAUACUGGGAUAUUCCGUUUACCCUUGGCAUUGCUGAUCUUCAGUACUGACUCCUUGACCAUUUUCAGUUAAUGCAUACAAUCCCAUUUGUCUGUGAUCUCAGGACAAAGAAUUUCCUUACUCGGUACGUUGAAGUUAGGGAAUGUCAAUUGAGAGCUUUCUAUCAGAGCAUUAUUGCCCACAAUUUGAGUUACUUAUCAUUUUCUCGAUCCCCUGCCCUUAAAGGAGAAACCAUUUCUCUGUCAUUGCUUCUGUAGUCACAGUCCCAAUUUUGAGUAGUGAUCUUUUCUUGUGUACUGUGUUGGCCACCUAAAACUCUUUGCAUUGAGUAAAAUUCUAAUUGCCAAUAAUCCUACCCAUUGGAUUAGACAGCACUCUGAACCCCAUUUGCAUUCAGCAGGGGGUCGCAGACAACCCGUCUUUUGUUGGACAGUUAAAAUGCUCAGUCCCAAUUGUCAUAGCUUUGCCUAUUAAACAAAGGCACCCUACUGCGCUUUUUGCUGUGCUUCUGGAGAAUCCUGCUGUUCUUGGACAAUUAAAGAACAAAGUAGUAAUUGCUAAUUGUCUCACCCAUUAAUCAUGAAGACUACCAGUCGCCCUUGCAUUUGCCUUGAGGCAGCGCUGACUACCUGAGAUUUAAGAGUUUCUUAAAUUAUUGAGUAAAAUCCCAAUUAUCCAUAGUUCUGUUAGUUACACUAUGGCCUUUGCAAACAUCUUUGCAUAACAGCAGUGGGACUGACUCAUUCUUAGAGCCCCUUCCCUUGGAAUAUUAAUGGAUACAAUAGUAAUUAUUCAUGGUUCUGCGUAACAGAGAAGACCCACUUAUGUGUAUGCCUUUAUCAUUGCUCCUAGAUAGUGUGAACUACCUACCACCUUGCAUUAAUAUGUAAAACACUAAUUGCCCAUAGUCCCACUCAUUAGUCUAGGAUGUCCUCUUUGCCAUUGCUGCUGAGUUCUGACUACCCAAGUUUCCUUCUCUUAAACAGUUGAUAUGCAUAAUUGCAUAUAUUCAUGGUUCUGUGCAAUAAAAAUGGAUUCUCACCCCAUCCCACCUUCUGUGGGAUGUUGCUAACGAGUGCAGAUUAUUCAAUAACAGCUCUUGAACAGUUAAUUUGCACAGUUGCAAUUGUCCAGAGUCCUGUCCAUUAGAAAGGGACUCUGUAUCCUAUUUGCACGCUACAAUGUGGGCUGAUCACCCAAGGACUCUUCUUGUGCAUUGAUGUUCAUAAUUGUAUUUGUCCACGAUCUUGUGCACUAACCCUUCCACUCCCUUUGUAUUCCAGCAGGGGACCCUUACUACUCAAGACCUCUGUACUAGGACAGUUUAUGUGCACAAUCCUAAUUGAUUAGAACUGAGUCUUUUAUAUCAAGGUCCCUGCAUCAUCUUUGCUUUACAUCAAGAGGGUGCUGGUUACCUAAUGCCCCUCCUCCAGAAAUUAUUGAUGUGCAAAAUGCAAUUUCCCUAUCUGCUGUUAGUCUGGGGUCUCAUCCCCUCAUAUUCCUUUUGUCUUACAGCAGGGGGUACUUGGGACUGUUAAUGCGCAUAAUUGCAAUUAUGGUCUUUUCCAUUAAAUUAAGAUCCCAACUGCUCACACCCUCUUAGCAUUACAGUAGAGGGUGCUAAUCACAAGGACAUUUCUUUUGUACUGUUAAUGUGCUACUUGCAUUUGUCCCUCUUCCUGUGCACUAAAGACCCCACUCACUUCCCUAGUGUUCAGCAGUGGAUGACCUCUAGUCAAGACCUUUGCACUAGGAUAGUUAAUGUGAACCAUGGCAACUGAUCACAACAAUGUCUUUCAGAUCAGAUCCAUUUUAUCCUCCUUGUUUUACAGCAAGGGAUAUUAAUUACCUAUGUUACCUUUCCCUGGGACUAUGAAUGUGCAAAAUUCCAAUGUUCAUGGUCUCUCCCUUUAAACCUAUAUUCUACCCCUUUUACAUUAUAGAAAGGGAUGCUGGAAACCCAGAGUCCUUCUCUUGGGACUCUUAAUGUGUAUUUCUAAUUAUCCAUGACUCUUAAUGUGCAUAUUUUCAAUUGCCUAAUUGAUUUCAAUUGUCUAAGACAUUUCAAAUGUCUAAUUGAUUAGAACUGAGUCUUUUAUAUCAAGCUAAUAUCUAGCUUUUAUAUCAAGCUAAUAUCUUGACUUCUCAGCAUCAUAGAAGGGGGUACUGAUUUCCUAAAGUCUUUCUUGAAUUUCUAUUAUGCAAAAUUGCCCUGAGGCCGGGUGUGGUGGCUCACACCUGUAAUCCCAGCACUUUGGGAGGCUGAGGUGGGAAGAUCCCUUACUGCCAGGAGUUUGAGACCAGCCUGGCCAACAUUAAAAAAAAAAAAAAGUAAGACAAUUGCCCUGGAAUCCCAUCCCCCUCACACCUCCUUGGCAAAGCAGCAGGAGUGCUAACUAGCUAGUGCUUCUUCUCUUAUACUGCUUAAAUGCGCAUAAUUAGCAGUAGUUGAUGUGCCCCUAUGUUAGAGUAGAAUCCCGCUUCCUUGCUCCAUUUGCAUUACUGCAGGAGCUUCUAACUAGCCUGAAUUCACUCUCUUGGACUGUUAAUGUGCAUACUUAUAUUUGCUGCUGUACUUUUUUACCAUGUAAGGACCCCACCCACUGUAUUUACAUCCCAGCUGGAAGUACCUACUACUUAAGACCCUUAGACUAGUAAAGUUAGCGUGCAUAAUCUUAGGUGUUAUAUACACAUUUUCAGUUGCAUACAGUUGUGCCUUUUAUCAGGACUCCUGUACUUAUCAAAGCAGAGAGUGCUAAUCAAUAUUAAGCCCUUCUCUUCGAACUGUAGAUGGCAUGUAAUUGCAGUUGUCAAUGGUCCUUCAAUUAGACUUGGGUUUCUGACCUAUCACACCCUCUUUGCUUUAUUGCAUGGGGUACUAUUCACUUAAGGCCCCUUUCUCAAACUGUUAAUGUGCCUAAUGACAAUUACAUCAGUAUCCUUCCUUUUGAAGGACAGCAUGGUUGGUGACACCUAAGGCCCCAUUUCUUGGCCUCCCAAUAUGUGUGAUUGUAUUUGUCGAGGUUGCUAUGCACUAGAGAAGGAAAGUGCUCCCCUCAUCCCCACUUUUCCCUUCCAGCAGGAAGUGCCCACCCCAUAAGACCCUUUUAUUUGGAGAGUCUAGGUGCACAAUUGUAAGUGACCACAAGCAUGCAUCUUGGACAUUUAUGUGCGUAAUCGCACACUGCUCAUUCCAUGUGAAUAAGGUCCUACUCUCCGACCCCUUUUGCAAUACAGAAGGGUUGCUGAUAACGCAGUCCCCUUUUCUUGGCAUGUUGUGUGUGAUUAUAAUCGUCUGGGAUCCUAUGCACUAGAAAAGGAGGGUCCUCUCCACAUACCUCAGUCUCACCUUUCCCUUCCAGCAGGGAGUGCCCACUCCAUAAGACUCUCACAUUUGGACAGUCAAGGUGCGUAAUUGUUAAGUGAACACAACCAUGCACCUUAGACAUGGAUUUGCAUAACUACACACAGCUCAACCUAUCUGAAUAAAAUCCUACUCUCAGACCCCUUUUGCAGUACAGCAGGGGUGCUGAUCACCAAGGCCCUUUUUCCUGGCCUGGUAUGCGUGUGAUUAUGUUUGUCCCGGUUCCUGUGUAUUAGACAUGGAAGCCUCCCCUGCCACACUCCACCCCCAAUCUUCCUUUCCCUUCCGGCAGGGAGUGCCCUCUCCAUAAGACGCUUACGUUUGGACAAUCAAGGUGCACAGUUGUAAGUGACCACAGGCAUACACCUUGGACAUUAAUGUGCAUAACCACUUUGCCCAUUCCAUCUGAAUAAGGUCCUACUCUCAGACCCCUUUUGCAGUACAGCAGGGGUGCUGAUCACCAAGGCCCCUUUUCUUGGCCUGUUAUGUGCGUGAUUAUAUUUGUCUGGGUUCCUGUGUAUUAGACAAGGAAGCCUUCCCCCCGCCCCCACCCCCACUCCCAGUCUUCCUUUCCCUUCCAGCAGGGAGUGCCCCCUCCAUAAGAUCAUUACAUUUGGACAAUCAAGGUGCACAAUUAUAAGUGACCACAGCCAUGCACCUUGGACAUUAUUGGACAUUAAUGUGCGUAACUGCACAUGGCCCAUCCCAUCUGAAUAAGGUCCUACUCUCAGAUGCCCUUUGCAGUACAGCAGGGGUACUGAAUCACCAAGGCCCUUUUUCUUGGCCUGUUAUGUGUGUGAUUAUAUUUAUCCCAGUUUCUGUGUAAUAGACAUGAAAGCCUCCCCUGCCACACCCCACCUCCAAUCUUCCUUUCCCUUCCACCAGGGAGUGUCCACUCCAUAUACCCUUACAUUUGGACAAUCAAGGUGCACAAUUGUAAGUGAGCAUAGGCACUCACCUUGGACAUGAAUGUGCAUAACUGCACAUGGCCCAUCCCAUCUGAAUAAGGUCCUACUCUCAGACCCUUUUUGCAGUACAGCAGGGGUGCUGAUCACCAAGGCCCCUUUUCCUGGCCUGUUAUGUGUGUGAUUAUAUUUGUUCCAGUUCCUGUGUAAUAGACAUGGAAGCCUCCCCUGCCACACUCCACCCCCAAUCUUCCUUUCCCUUCUGGCAGGAAGUACCCGCUCCAUAAGACCCUUACAUUUGGACAGUCAAGGUGCACAAUUGUAUGUGACCACAACCAUGCACCUUGGACAUAAAUGUGUGUAACUGCACAUGGCCCAUCCCAUCUGAAUAAGGUCCUACUCUCAGACCCCUUUUGCAGUACAGUAGGUGUGCUGAUAACCAAGGCCCCUCUUCCUGGCCUGUUAACGUAUGUGAUUAUAUUUGUCUGGGUUCCAGUGUAUAAGACAUGGAAGCCUCCCCUGCCCCACCCCACCCUCAAUCUUCCUUUCCCUUCUGGCAGGGAGUGCCAGCUCCAUAAGAACCUUACAUUUGGACAGUCAAGGUGCACAAUUCUAAGUGACCGCAGCCAUGCACCUUGGUCAAUAAUGUGUGUAACUGCACACGGCCUAUCUCAUCUGAAUAAGGCCUUACUCUCAGACCCCUUUUGCAGUACAGCAGGGGUGCUGAUAACCAAGGCCCAUUUUCCUGGCCUGUUAUGUGUGUGAUUAUAUUUGUCCAGGUUUCUGUGUACUAGACAAGGAAGCCUCCUCUGCCCCAUCCCAUCUACGCAUAAUCUUUCUUUUCCUCCCAGCAGGGAGUGCUCACUCCAUAAGACCCUUACAUUUGGACAAUCAAGGUGCACAAUUGUAAGUGACCACAACCAUGCAUCUUGGAAAUUUAUGUGCAUAACUGCACAUGGCUUAUCCUAUUUGAAUAAAGUCCUACUCUCAGACCCCCUUUGCAGUAUAGCUGGGGUGCUGAUCACUGAGGCCUCUUUGCUUGGCUUGUCUAUAUUCUUGUGUACUAGAUAAGGGCACCUUCUCAUGGACUCCCUUUGCUUUUCAACAAGGAGUACCCACUACUUUUUAAGAUUCUUAUAUUUGUCCAAAGUACAUGGUUUUAAUUGACCACAACAAUGUCCCUUGGACAUUAAUGUAUGUAAUCACCACAUGGUUCAUCCUAAUUAAACAAAGUUCUACCUUCUCACCCUCCAUUUGCAGUAUACCAGGGUUGCUGACCCCCUAAGUCCCCUUUUCUUGGCUUGUUGACAUGCAUAAUUGCAUUUAUGUUGGUUCUUGUGCCCUAGACAAGGAUGCCCCACCUCUUUUCAAUAGUGGGUGCCCACUCCUUAUGAUCUUUACAUUUGAACAGUUAAUGUGAAUAAUUGCAGUUGUCCACAACCCUAUCACUUCUAGGACCAUUAUACCUCUUUUGCAUUACUGUGGGGUAUACUGUUUCCCUCCAAGGCCCCUUCUGGUGGACUAUCAACAUAUAAUUGAAAUUUUCUUUUGUCUUUGUCAGUAGAUUAAGGUCAUACCCCAUCACCUUUCCUUUGUAGUACAACAGGGUGUCCUGAUCAACCAAAGUCCUGUUGUUUUGGACUGUUAAUAUGUGCAAUUACAUUUGCUCCUGAUCUGUGCACUAGAUAAGGAUCCUACCUACUUUCUUAGUGUUUUUAGCAGGUAGUGCCCACUACUCAAGACUGUCACUUGGAAUGUUCAUGUGCACAAACUCAAUUCUCUAAGCAUGUUCCUGUACCACCUUUGCUUUAGAGCAGGGGGAUGAUAUUCACUAAGUGCCCCUUCUUUUGGACUUAAUAUGCAUUAAUGCAAUUGUCCACCUCUUCUUUUAGACUAAGAGUUGAUCUCCACAUAUUCCCCUUGCAUCAGGGGCAUGUUAAUUAUGAAUGAACCCUUUUCUUUUAAUAUUAAUGUCAUAAUUGUAUUUGUGGACCUGUGUAGGAGAAAAAGACCCUAUGUUCCUCCCAUUACCCUUUGGAUUGCUGCUGAGAAGUGUUAACUACUCAUAAUCUCAGCUCUUGGACAAUUAAUAGCAUUAAUAACAAUUAUCAAGGGCACUGAUCAUUAGAUAAGACUCCUGCUUCCUCGUUGCUUACAUCGGGGGUACUGACCCACUAAGGCCCCUUGUACUGUUAAUGUGAAUAUUUGCAAUUAUAUAUGUCUCCUUCUGGUAGAGUGGGAUAUUAUGCCCUAGUAUCCCCUUUGCAUUACUGCAGGGGCUGCUGACUACUCAAAACUUCUCCUGGGACUGUUAAUAGGCACAAUGGCAGUUAUCAAUGGUUUUCUCCCUCCCUGACCUUGUUAAGCAAGCGCCCCACCCCACCCUUAGUUUCCCAUGGCAUAAUAAAGUAUAAGCAUUGGAGUAUUCCAUGCACUUGUCUAUCAAACAGUGGUCCAUACUCCCAACCCUUUUGCAUUGCGCCAGUGUGUAAAAUCACAGGUAGCCAUGGUGUCAUGCUUUAUAUACGAAGUCUUCCCUCUCUCUGCCCCUUGUGUGCCCUUGGCCCCUUUUUACAGACUAUUGCUCACAAUCUCAGGUGUCCAUAUUUGCAGCUAUUAGGUAAGAUUGUGCUGUCUCCCUCUUCCCUUCCCUCUGCCCUGCCCCUUUUGCCUCUUUGCUGGGUAAUGUUGACCAGACAAGGCCCUUUCUCUUGGACUUAAACAAUUCUCAGUUGCACUUUCCUUGGUCCCACCCAUUAUACAUGAACCCCUCUACUUCCUUUCGCAUUGCUUCUGAGUAUGCUGACUACCCAAAGCCCCUUCUGUGUUAUUAAUAAACACAGUACUGAUUGUCCCAUUUUUCAGCCCAUCAGUCCAAGAUCUCCCUACCACUUUGGUGUGUUGGUGCAGUGUUGACUAUGAAAAGCAGGCCUGAACUAGGUGGAUAAGCCUUCACUCAUUUUCUUUCAUUUAUUAAUGAUCCUAGUUUCAAUUAUUGUCAGAUUCUGGGGACAAGAACCAUUCUUGCCCACCUGUGUUACUGCUUUACUGUGCAAAAUACUGAAGGCAAGUCAGACCCAGGGAGCUGGAUUGCCAUCCUUUAUUUUGUGUUUCCAGUGUACACUAUAAAAUUGUCUCCCCAGGAAGGAAGGUUGGCACUUUCUCUGCAUUCUUCUUUCCAGAGCAGAUUGCCUGGUUAAGAAUCUCUUGUUGUCCCCUUUGUAUAUUGUUAUUGUAAAGUGCCAAAUGCCAGGAUACAGCCAGAAAAAUUGCUUAUUAUUAUUAAAAAAAUUUUUUUAAGAAAGACAUCUGGAUUGUAGGGUGGACUCGAUAACCUGGUCAUUAUUUUUUUGAAGCCAAAAUAUCCAUUUAUACUAUGUACCUGGUGACCAGUGUCUCUCAUUUUAACUGAGGGUGGUGGGUCUGUGGAUAGAACACUGACUCUUGCUAUUUUAAUAUCAAAGAUAUUCUAGAGUGGAACUCUUAAGACCAGUAUCUUUGUGUGGGCUUUACCAGCAUUCACUUUUAGAAAAACUACCUAAAUUUUAUAAUCCUUUAAUUUCUUCAUCUGGAGCACCUGCCCCUACUUAUUUCAAGAAGAUUGCAGUAAAACGAUUAAAUGAGGGAACAUAUGCAGAGGUGCUUUUAAAAAGCAUAUGCCACCUUUUUUAUUAAUUAUUAUAUAAAAUGAAGCAUUUAAUUAUAGUAAUAAUUUGAAGUAGUUUGAAGUACCACACUGAGGUGAGGACUUAAAAAUGAUAAGACGAGUUCCCUAUUUUAUAAGAAAAAUAAGCCAAAAUUAAAUAUUCUUUUGGAUAUAAAUUUCAACAGUGAGAUAGCUGCCUAGUGGAAAUGAAUAAUAUCCCAGCCACUAGUGUACAGGGUGUUUUGUGGCACAGGAUUAUGUAAUAUGGAACUGCUCAAGCAAAUAACUAGUCAUCACAACAGCAGUUCUUUGUAAUAACUGAAAAAGAAUAUUGUUUCUCGGAGAAGGAUGUCAAAAGAUCGGCCCAGCUCAGGGAGCAGUUUGCCCUACUAGCUCCUCGGACAGCUGUAAAGAAGAGUCUCUGGCUCUUUAGAAUACUGAUCCCAUUGAAGAUACCACGCUGCAUGUGUCCUUAGUAGUCAUGUCUCCUUAGGCUCCUCUUGAUCUUCCUCAGAAGAAUAGGCUUGUUGUUUUACAGUGUUAGUGAUCCAUUCCCUUUGACGAUCCCUAGGUGGAGAUGGGGCAUGAGGAUCCUCCAGGGGAAAAGCUCACUACCACUGGGCAACAACCCUAGGUCAGGAGGUUCUGUCAAGAUACUUUCCUGGUCCCAGAUAGGAAGAUAAAGUCUCAAAAACAACCACCACACGUCAAGCUCUUCAUUGUUCCUAUCUGCCAAAUCAUUAUACUUCCUACAAGCAGUGCAGAGAGCUGAGUCUUCAGCAGGUCCAAGAAAUUUGAACACACUGAAGGAAGUCAGCCUUCCCACCUGAAGAUCAACAUGCCUGGCACUCUAGCACUUGAGGAUAGCUGAAUGAAUGUGUCUUACCCAUUUCCAUGUUUCUCUUGCUAAUUUCUUUCGUGUGUGCCUUUGCCUCAUUUUCUCUUUUUGUUCACAAGAGUGGUCUGUGUCUUGUCUUAGACAUAUCUCUCAUUUUUCAUUUUGUUGCUAUUUCUCUUUGCUCUCCUAGAUGUGGCUCUUCUUUCACGCUUUAUUUCAUGUCUCCUUUUUGGGUCACAUGCUGUGUGCUUUUUGUCCUUUUCUUGUUCUGUCUACCUCUCCUUUCUCUGCCUACCUCUCUUUUCUCUUUGUGAACUGUGAUUAUUUGUUACCCCUUCCCCUUCUCGUUCGUUUUAAAUUUCACCUUUUUUCUGAGUCUGGCCUCCUUUCUGCUGUUUCUACUUUUUAUCUCACAUUUCUCAUUUCUGCAUUUCCUUUCUGCCUCUCUUGGGCUAUUCUCUCUCUCCUCCCCUGCGUGCCUCAGCAUCUCUUGCUGUUUGUGAUUUUCUAUUUCAGUAUUAAUCUCUGUUGGCUUGUAUUUGUUCUCUGCUUCUUCCCUUUCUACUCACCUUUGAGUAUUUCAGCCUCUUCAUGAAUCUAUCUCCCUCUCUUUGAUUUCAUGUAAUCUCUCCUUAAAUAUUUCUUUGCAUAUGUGGGCAAGUGUACGUGUGUGUGUGUCAUGUGUGGCAGAGGGGCUUCCUAACCCCUGCCUGAUAGGUGCAGAACGUCGGCUAUCAGAGCAAGCAUUGUGGAGCGGUUCCUUAUGCCAGGCUGCCAUGUGAGAUGAUCCAAGACCAAAACAAGGCCCUAGACUGCAGUAAAACCCAGAACUCAAGUAGGGCAGAAGGUGGAAGGCUCAUAUGGAUAGAAGGCCCAAAGUAUAAGACAGAUGGUUUGAGACUUGAGACCCGAGGACUAAGAUGGAAAGCCCAUGUUCCAAGAUAGAUAGAAGCCUCAGGCCUGAAACCAACAAAAGCCUCAAGAGCCAAGAAAACAGAGGGUGGCCUGAAUUGGACCGAAGGCCUGAGUUGGAUGGAAGUCUCAAGGCUUGAGUUAGAAGUCUUAAGACCUGGGACAGGACACAUGGAAGGCCUAAGAACUGAGACUUGUGACACAAGGCCAACGACCUAAGAUUAGCCCAGGGUUGUAGCUGGAAGACCUACAACCCAAGGAUGGAAGGCCCCUGUCACAAAGCCUACCUAGAUGGAUAGAGGACCCAAGCGAAAAAGGUAUCUCAAGACUAACGGCCGGAAUCUGGAGGCCCAUGACCCAGAACCCAGGAAGGAUAGAAGCUUGAAGACCUGGGGAAAUCCCAAGAUGAGAACCCUAAACCCUACCUCUUUUCUAUUGUUUACACUUCUUACUCUUAGAUAUUUCCAGUUCUCCUGUUUAUCUUUAAGCCUGAUUCUUUUGAGAUGUACUUUUUGAUGUUGCCGGUUACCUUUAGAUUGACAGUAUUAUGCCUGGGCCAGUCUUGAGCCAGCUUUAAAUCACAGCUUUUACCUAUUUGUUAGGCUAUAGUGUUUUGUAAACUUCUGUUUCUAUUCACAUCUUCUCCACUUGAGAGAGACACCAAAAUCCAGUCAGUAUCUAAUCUGGCUUUUGUUAACUUCCCUCAGGAGCAGACAUUCAUAUAGGUGAUACUGUAUUUCAGUCCUUUCUUUUGACCCCAGAAGCCCUAGACUGAGAAGAUAAAAUGGUCAGGUUGUUGGGGAAAAAAAAGUGCCAGGCUCUCUAGAGAAAAAUGUGAAGAGAUGCUCCAGGCCAAUGAGAAGAAUUAGACAAGAAAUACACAGAUGUGCCAGACUUCUGAGAAGCACCUGCCAGCAACAGCUUCCUUCUUUGAGCUUAGUUUCUGGCAUCACUACCACUACUGAUUAAACAAGAAUAAGAGAACAUUUUAUCAUCAUCUGCUUUAUUCACAUAAAUGAAGUUGUGAUGAAUAAAUCUGCUUUUAUGCAGACACAAGGAAUUAAGUGGCUUCGUCAUUGUCCUUCUACCUCAAAGAUAAUUUAUUCCAAAAGCUAAGAUAAAUGGAAGACUCUUGAACUUGUGAACUGAUGUGAAAUGCAGAAUCUCUUUUGAGUCUUUGCUGUUUGGAAGAUUGAAAAAUAUUGUUCAGCAUGGGUGACCACCAGAAAGUAAUCUUAAGCCAUCUAGAUGUCACAAUUGAAACAAACUGGGGAGUUGGUUGCUAUUGUAAAAUAAAAUAUACUGUUUUGAAAACUUUGUAUUUUGAUGUGACAAUUUCUAACUCACUGUCCCUAA
rnacentral:lncRNA from 1 species